rnacentral:rRNA from 1 species
CGCUAGUUCCAGUGGAGCCGUCCUUGAAAUACCACCCUGGUAAUGUUGAGGUUCUAACUCUGUCCCGUGAUCCGGGACGAGGACCGUGUCUGGUGGGUAGUUUGACUGGGGCGGUCUCCUCCUAAAGAGUAACGGAGGAGUACGAAGGUGCGCUCAGCGUGGUCGGAAAUCACGCGUAGAGUAUAAAGGCAAAAGCGCGCUUAACUGCGAGACCCACAAGUCGAGCAGGUACGAAAGUAGGUCUUAGUGAUCCGGUGGUUCUGUAUGGAAGGGCCAUCGCUCAACGGAUAAAAGGUACUCUGGGGAUAACAGGCUGAUACCGCCCAAGAGUUCAUAUCGACGGCGGUGUUUGGCACCUCGAUGUCGGCUCAUCUCAUCCUGGGGCUGAAGCAGGUCCCAAGGGUAUGGCUGUUCGCCAUUUAAAGAGGUACGCGAGCUGGGUUUAGAACGUCGUGAGACAGUUCGGUCCCUAUCUACCGUGGGCGCUGGAAAUUUGAGAGGAUCUGCUCCUAGUACGAGAGGACCAGAGUGGACGAACCUCUGGUGUACCGGUUGUGACGCCAGUCGCAUCGCCGGGUAGCUAUGUUCGGAAGGGAUAACCGCUGAAAGCAUCUAAGCGGGAAGCCUACCUCAAGAUAAGAUUUCCCUAGGACUUUAUGUCCUCUAAAGAGCCGUUCGAGACUAGGACGUUGAUAGGUUGGAUGUGGAAGCAUAGUGAUAUGUGAAGCUGACCAAUACUAAUUGCUCGUGAGGCUUGACUAUACAACACCCAAGCAGUUG